rnacentral:tRNA from 1 species
GAUGUAGUAGCUUAGUGGUAGAGCGUGUGCUUAGCAUGCACAAGGUCCUGGGUUCUAUCCCCAGUACCUCC